rnacentral:rRNA from 1 species
GCAUCCUUUGCUGAGGAUACGGUUAACGGAGCGAAAGCGACGUUCAACCUCAAAAGAAGCAGAGGGGGCUUAGUGGUGGGGUGACUGCGUACCUUUUGUAUAAUGGGUCAGCGACUUAUAUUCUGUAGCAAGGUUAACCGUAUAGGGGAGCCGUAGGGAAACCGAGUCUUAACCGGGCGUUAAGUUGCAGGGUAUAGACCCGAAACCCGGUGAUCUAGCCAUGGGCAGGUUGAAGGUUGGGUAACACUAACUGGAGGACCGAACCGACUAAUGUUGAAAAAUUAGCGGAUGACCUGUGGCUGGGGGUGAAAGGCCAAUCAAACCGGGAGAUAGCUGGUUCUCCCCGAAAGCUAUUUAGGUAGCGCCUCGUGAAUUCAUCUCCGGGGGUAGAGCACUGUUUCGGCUAGGGGGCCAUCCCGGCUUACCAACCCGAUGCAAACUGCGAAUACCGGAGAAUGUUAUCACGGGAGACACACGGCGGGUGCUAACGUCCGUCGUGAAGAGGGAAACAACCCAGACCGCCAGCUAAGGUCCCAAAGUCAUGGUUAAGUGGGAAACGAUGUGGGAAGGCCCAGACAGCCAGGAUGUUGGCUUAGAAGCAGCCAUCAUUUAAAGAAAGCGUAAUAGCUCACUGGUCGAGUCGGCCUGCGCGGAAGAUGUAACGGGGCUAAACCAU